GAUGAAGAACGCAGCGAAAUGCGAUAAGUAAUGUGAAUUGCAGAAUUCAGUGAAUCAUCGAAUCUUUGAACGCACAUUGCGCCCAUUAGUAUUCUAGUGGGCAUGCCUGUUCGAGCGUCAUUAAGUCCACUUAAGCCCUGCUUAGUGUUGGGAGACUGCUCCAGCGGUGCUACCCUGUAGCUACCCUGCAGCUCCUCAAAGUCAGCGGCGGAGUUGUGGUAUCCUCUGAGCUUAGUAACUUGUUCUAGCUUUCGAGUACACCACUUCCCCUGCCGUAAAACCCUUAAUUUUUAAUGGUUGACCUCGGAUCAGGUAGGAAUACCCGCUGAACUUAAGCAUAUCAAUAAGCGGAGGA
rnacentral:misc_RNA from 1 species